rnacentral:rRNA from 1 species
CCUACGGGAGGCAGCAGUAGGGAAUAUUGCUCAAUGGGGGCAACCCUGAAGCAGCAACGCCGCGUGGAGGAUGAAGGUUUUCGGAUUGUAAAAUUCUUUUGAUAGAGGAGAUAAUUACGGUAUCUAACGAAUAAGCACCGGCUAACUCCAUGCCAGCAGCCGCGGUAAUACGGAGGGUGCAAGCGUUACUCGGAAUCACUGGGCGUAAAGGGGGCGUAGGCGGGUUAGUAAGUCAGAUGUGAAAUUCUACGGCUUAACCAUAGAACUGCAGUUGAUACUGUCAUUCUAGAGUACGGGAGAGGUAGGUGGAAUUCGUGGUGUAGGGGUAAAAUCCUUAGAGAUCAAGAAGAAUUCUGAUUGCGAAGGCGGCCUGCUAGAACAUAACUGACGCUGAUGCGCGAAAGUGUGGGUAGCAAACAGGAUUAGAUACCCGAGUAGUC